ACUUUCCUGUAGCUCAGUGGGUAGAGCAUUGCGUUAACAACGCAAAGGUUCUGGGUUCAAAUCGCAGGGAAAGCA
rnacentral:tRNA from 1 species